rnacentral:rRNA from 1 species
GAUGAACGCUGGCGGCGUGCCUAAUACAUGCAAGUCGAGCGAACGGACGAGAAGCUUGCUUCUCUGAUGUUAGCGGCGGACGGGUGAGUAACACGUGGAUAACCUACCUAUAAGACUGGGAUAACUUCGGGAAACCGGAGCUAAUACCGGAUAAUAUUUUGAACCGCAUGGUUCAAAAGUGAAAGACGGUCUUGCUGUCACUUAUAGAUGGAUCCGCGCUGCAUUAGCUAGUUGGUAAGGUAACGGCUUACCAAGGCAACGAUGCAUAGCCGACCUGAGAGGGGGAUCGGCCACACUGGAAGUGAGACACGGUCCAGACUCCUACGGGAGGCAGCAGUAGGGAAUCUUCCGCAGUGGGCGAAAGCCUGACGGAGCAACCCCGCGUGAGUGAUGAAGGUCUUCGGAUCGUAAAACUCUGUUAUUAGGGAAGAACAUAUGUGUAAGUAACUGUGCACAUCUUGACGGUACCUAAUCAGAAAGCCACGGCUAACUACGUG